rnacentral:rRNA from 1 species
AUUGAACGCUGGUGGCAGGCCUAACACAUGCAAGUCGAGCGGAUGAGAAGAGCUUGCUCUUCGAUUCAGCGGCGGACGGGUGAGUAAUGCCUAGGAAUCUGCCUGGUAGUGGGGGACAACGUUUCGAAAGGAACGCUAAUACCGCAUACGUCCUACGGGAGAAAGCAGGGGACCUUCGGGCCUUGCGCUAUCAGAUGAGCCUAGGUCGGAUUAGCUAGUUGGUGAGGUAAUGGCUCACCAAGGCGACGAUCCGUAACUGGUCUGAGAGGAUGAUCAGUCACACUGGAGCUGAGACACGGUCCAGACUCCUACGGGAGGCAGCAGUGGGGAAUAUUGGACAAUGGGCGAAAGCCUGAUCCAGCCAUGCCGCGUGUGUGAAGAAGGUCUUCGGAUUGUAAAGCACUUUAAGUUGGGAGGAAGGGCAGUAAGUUAAUACCUUGCUGUUUUGACGUUACCGACAGAAUAAGCACCGGCUAACUCUGUGCCAGCAGCCGCCGUAAUAC